UUUCUUUAAACAAUCUGUGAUUUGUAACAUUAUUCCAGCAUUUAUCUUAUGAAAAACAACAGUAAAUAUGUUAAAUCAAACAUUACACCAAACAUUCAACUAAUUAAUUCACACGCGAUUAAUCGCCGUCUUUCAAAUCGCGAUUUUUUGAUUUGAAAACGAUGAAUCGUUCAGCCUUACCGGACGUCUAUUAGCAGGUUCUAGUUAAACCAAGAGAUUCAUGCCGAUCUGAUGUUGUACAUCAGUAAUGUGUAGACUGUGUAAUCCUCUGUAUCUUCCAGCUGCUGUACCAGCUGUGCCACUGCCUCUGCCUCUGCCUGUUGACUGUGAUAUAAUCUGCAAUCAGUUGUUGCACUUUCCUCUUUUUUUCCCAUUUUGUUUUGUAUGUUGCAGAAAAAAAGAAAAGACAAAAAGUUACUACAGAACGGUCUCGCUUUGGCUUUAGCUGGUUAAAGCUGUGUGGAUGUGAAUGAUGUUUCAGGUGAGUGAUGUGUUGUUGACGGUACAGUGUCUGUAAUUAUAGGUAAUCACACCCAGUAGGAUGAUUUAAUACUAUGUUGCAUUAUGUUACAUCAUGUACAUUCAGAUGAUUUAUAUUUCAAUAAAUGAUUUAUAAUGUAAAAAAAA